rnacentral:rRNA from 1 species
AUGGACAUACUUACAGCAUUAAUCGACAAGGCAACACAUGAGGAUGUGCUCUCUUCCUUCUCGGGCAUUAAAGCCAUGCAGAGACUCUCCAUCUUUGCAGACGAUGUGGCUCUAUUCAUCUGCCCAUUUGCAUUGGACCUUGCCUGUGUGAGAGAGGUGCUCAAUAUUUUUGGGAAUGCCACAAGCCCGCGAAUCAAUUACAGGAAGACAUCUGCCAUAUUAAUAAGGGGACAUCAGGAGGAUAAGGAAAGGGUGAUAAAAUUUCUGGACUGCCAAUCUGGAACUUUCCCCUGCAGGUAUCUCGGACUACCGCUUGCCAUAAACCAGCUCACAAGAAUUGAUUGCCAGCCAUUGUUGGAUCAGGUCAAGCAAUUUAUACCAACAUGGCAGUGUGGUCUCAUUCAGAGUCCCGGGAGAUUAAUCCUAGUCAAGAGUGUCAUUGCAGUUAGACCAAUUCAUCACUUACUCGUGCUGAAUCCACCACCACUUUGGGUGUUUGAAGAAAUCAAUACUUGGAUGAGAUCAUUUUUUGGGCGGGAAAGGAGAGAACCCAUGGAGGGCAAUGCUUGGUUGCAUGGAACACCAUAUGCAGACCAAUGA